UACGUAGGGGGCAAGCGUUGUCCGGAAUCAUUGGGCGUAAAGAGCGUGUAGGCGGCCCGAUAAGUCCGCUGUGAAAGUCCAGGGCUCAACCCUGGGAUGCCGGUGGAUACUGUCGGGCUCGAGUCCGGAAGAGGAGUGUGGAAUUCCUGGUGUAGCGGUGAAAUGCGCAGAUAUCAGGAGGAACACCGGUGGUGUAGACGGCUCUCUGGACCGUAACUGACACUGAGGCGCGAAAGCGUGGGGAGCGAACAGG
rnacentral:rRNA from 1 species